UUUAGUGUUUCCCGUCUGUAGUCACGUGUAUGUAUGUAUAUAUUAGUAGCCACCCCCACCCCUAACUGAUAUCUUCUCCCCUUCCCUCCUAUAGGAGCAACUCUCCUUCUUACAGGGGUAUCCCAACCUCCUUUAUACAGCCCAAUUGCUGGGGGCAGCUGAUUCUGUUUCUGGCUACUGAGAUGGGGCAUGUACCCAGGUGGAGCCUAUACCAAUGACAGACAACCAUUCCCUGAUCAGAGUUAUUGCAUCCAGGAGCUUCCAGCCAGCUAAUGUGAUGGACACAGUAUCUGGAGAGUCCUGCAUUUCAAAACUUACUCUAAGGAAGAUUACUUUGAUUUUCAAAGUCCCUGGACCACAGAGAGAUGGAGCUCUGGCUGCAAGACACUUACUAUAGAGCCACAUGGCGAGAUUGCCAUAGAGAAGAGACAUAAAUAACCACAACUGCCAGAAAAUAAAGCCGGUAAUCUCUAGAAAUGCCUGAAUACAUUAAAAUGAAAUAUAACCUGAGACUCUGGUUCUUUAGACCCUGUUGAAUACGUUGUUCUCAGUCAGCUGAUAAAAUUUUAAUUUAUCAUUUCAUGUUUAUGAUAAAAUGUAACAUAACUCAUUAAUUGCAUCCAUUAAUCCUCUCUCAUUCAUAAAAAUGGCAUAUGUGUUGAUGAUCUACAUAAUUGUUUACCAUGUGUAGUAUUAUAGUGAUAAUCUAUGAAUAAUACAAAAGUUUGCAGAAAACUAAAGUAUAUGGAACUGUAGAAAGAGAUAAAUUUUUAAAUAUGUAAGGUUUUGAUCUGCUCAUAUAAUGAACUGGUGUUUUAGCCAUUUGAGCCACCUAGUGGUAACAGACGUGAGAUAUGAUUUCUUAUUCUGAAAAACAAUGUUAAAGUUUAACAGUUUCCAAUUUAAAAGGAUUGAACUAAGUAAAGCGAAUCAUAAUCAUUAUAUAUUAUACAUUUAGCUUUUGAAUUAAUAUUUCUUUAUUGGUAGAAGGUUAAAUAUUAGAAAAUAAAUUAUAAAAAGUUUUUUACUUAUUUUAUUUCUUCUAAUAGAGGUCACAUAACCAAGCAAACUAAAAUGAUAAAAAAUUAUAAUUGAAGCGUAUUCUUUCAAAAGAUAUAAGAAAGAAAAGGCAAUCAAAUAUUUAGUAGACUAAAAUGAAUAAUGCAUUUUCUAACUUAAUUGUAUUCAAAUGUAACCUUAGUAAGUGGUCUCGAGUGUAGUCAUAUUCUCUAAAUCUGUCUUCUAGCCAGUCAUUAGUCUGUCUUCCUAUAUUUAAAGAACAAAACUGAAUCACUAAUCUGCUCAGUGGUCCAUUAGAAAUACUCUGUAACCAGAUUACACUGUGUCUAAUUUUAGAUUUCUUUAAUUGGGAACUGUAGAUCAAAGCAAGUUUCCAUUUUGGCUCUGUUCUGGUAUAAUAACUUCCAGCAGAGCCAAAUCAUGAAAUACUGCUAACUUCACGUGUUAGAAUCCACAUUCAUCUUUGCCUUGUUAACUUUUAAGGAGUUUUUUAUUUGUUGUUCCAAGAAUGCCAGGUUCUUUGGUUUCCUGCUUUCUUAAAUUGCCAUAUGUCUCUAAAUAGGUUUUUUUUUUUUUUCCCAUAAUCAGAAUUAGCACAAAGAUAGAUAGAUUUGUCUUCUUUGAAUUCAC
ensembl:lincRNA